GAUGAACGCUGGCGGCGUGCCUAAUACAUGCAAGUCGAGCGAACAGACGAGGAGCUUGUUCCUCUGACGUUAGCGGCGGACGGGUGAGUAACACGUGGAUAACCUACCUAUAAGACUGGGAUAACUUCGGGAAACCGGAGCUAAUACCGGAUAAUAUAUUGAACCGCAUGGUUCAAUAGUGAAAGACGGUUUUGCUGUCACUUAUAGAUGGAUCCGCGCCGCAUUAGCUAGUUGGUAAGGUAACGGCUUACCAAGGCAACGAUGCGUAGCCGACCUGAGAGGGUGAUCGGCCACACUGGAACUGAGACACGGUCCAGACUCCUACGGGAGGCAGCAGUAGGGAAUCUUCCGCAAUGGGCGAAAGCCUGACGGAGCAACGCCGCGUGAGUGAUGAAGGUCUUCGGAUCGUAAAACUCUGUUAUUAGGGAAGAACAAAUGUGUAAGUAACUAUGCACGUCUUGACGGUACCUAAUCAGAAAGUCACGGCUAACUACGUG
rnacentral:rRNA from 1 species